rnacentral:rRNA from 1 species
AACGAACGCUGGCGGCAUGCCUAACACAUGCAAGUCGAACGAUUGCCUUCGGGUGAUAGUGGCGCACGGGUGCGUAACGCGUGGGAAUCUGCCCUUAGGUUCGGAAUAACAGCUGGAAACGGCUGCUAAUACCGGAUGAUAUCGCGAGAUCAAAGAUUUAUCGCCUGAGGAUGAGCCCGCGUUGGAUUAGGUAGUUGGUGGGGUAAAGGCCUACCAAGCCGACGAUCCAUAGCUGGUCUGAGAGGAUGAUCAGCCACACUGGGACUGAGACACGGCCCAGACUCCUACGGGAGGCAGCAGUGGUGAAUAUUGGACAAUGGGCGCAAGCCUGAUCCAGCAAUGCCGCGUGAGUGAUGAAGGCCCUAGGGUUGUAAAGCUCUUUUACCCGGGAAGAUAAUGACUGUACCGGGAGAAUAAGCCCCGGCUAACUCCGUG